AUUGAACGCUGGCGGCAGGCCUAACACAUGCAAGUCGAGCGGAGCGGCGGACGGGUGAGUAAUGCCUAGGAAUCUGCCUGGUGGUGGUGGAUAACGUCCGGAAACGGGCGCUAAUACCGCAUACUAUCAGAUGAGCCUAGGUCGGCUUAGCUAGUUGGUGUGGUAAAGGCCUACCAAGGCGACGAUCCGUAACUGGUCUGAGAGGAUGAUCAGUCACACUGGAACUGAGACACGGCCCAGACUCCUCCGGGAGGCAGCAGUGGGGAUUAUUGGACAAGGGGCGAAAGCCUGAUCCAGCCAGGCGGCGGGUGUGAAGAAGGUCUUCGGAUGUUAAAGCCCUUUAAGUUGGGAGGCGUUACCAACAGAAUAAGCACCGGCUAACUUCUUGCCAGCAGCGCGGUAAUUC
rnacentral:rRNA from 1 species